rnacentral:rRNA from 1 species
CCUACGGGAGGCAGCAGUAAGGAAUAUUGGUCAAUGGGCGCAAGCCUGAACCAGCCAUGCCGCGUGCAGGAUGACGGCCCUCUGGGUUGUAAACUGCUUUUAUACGGGAAGAACAGCAUCUACGUGUAGGUGUUUGACGGUACUGUAAGAAUAAGGACCGGCUAACUUCGUGCCAGCAGCCGCGGUAAUACGAAGGGUCCAAGCGUUAUCCGGAUUUAUUGGGUUUAAAGGGUGCGUAGGCGGCUUUUUAAGUCAGUGGUGAAAGCCUGAUGCUCAACAUCAGAACUGCCAUUGAUACUGAAGAGCUUGAGUACAGUUGAGGUUGGCGGAAUGUGUCAUGUAGCGGUGAAAUGCUUAGAUAUGACACAGAACACCGAUUGCGAAGGCAGCUAGCUAAGCUGUUACUGACGCUGAUGCACGAAAGCGUGGGGAGCAAACAGGAUUAGAUACCCUGGUAGUCCACGCCCUAAACGUUGAUAACUCGUUGUUAGCGAUAUACUGUUAGCGACCAAGCGAAAGCAUUAAGUUAUCCACCUGGGAAGUACGGUCGCAAGAUUGAAACUCAAAUUGAAUUGACGG